AGCGAACGUUAGCGGCGCGCCUAACACAUGCAAGUCGAGCGAGAAAGGGAGCAAUCCUGAGUAAAGCGGCGGACGGGUGCGUAACACGUAGAUAACCUGCCCUUUGGAGGGGGAUAACGUUCCGAAAGGAGCGCUAAUACCGCGUAAAGCAUUUGGUGGUUCGCCACUGGAUGGCAAAGGUUGGGACCCGCAAGGGCCAACCGCCAGAGGAGGGGCUCUGCGGCCCAUCAGCUAGUUGGUAAGGUAAUGGCUUACCAAGGCAAAGACGGGUAGCUGGUCUGAGAGGAUGAUCAGCCACACUGGUACUGGAACACGGACCAGACUCCUACGGGAGGCAGCAGUGGGGAAUCUUGGUCAAUGGGCGCAAGCCUGAACCAGCGACGCCGCGUGAGUGAUGAAGGCCUUCGGGUUGUAAAAGCUCUGUGGGGAGGGNCGAAAAGAGCACGUUCUAACAGGACNUGUGUUUGACGGUACCUCCUUAGCAAGCACCGGCUAACUCUGUGCCAGCAGCCGCGGUAAGNCAGAGGGUGCAAACGUUGCUCGGAAUCACUGGGCGUAAAGGGCGUGUAGGCGGACUUGCAAGUCAGGCGUGAAAUCCUGGGCUCAACCCAGGAAUUGCACUUGAAACUGCAAAGUCUUGAGUGUCGGAGAGGAAAAGCGGAAUUCCUGGUGUAGAGGUGAAAUUUCGUAGAUAUCAGGAGGAACACCGGUGGCGAAGGCGGCUUUCUGGACGAUAACUGACGCUGAGACGCGAAAAGCGUGGGGGAGC
rnacentral:rRNA from 1 species